rnacentral:lncRNA from 1 species
UGUUGGAUGUGUACGGAUUGAGUGUUUAGUCUUAGAGGCAUGAUUUUUUAUAAGUUGUUAGUGGCUUUGAACUAGCUGUCAGAUAACUGCGAAUACUCUCAGAUCUGUUCAUAAUGUCUUUUUGUGUCGGGAUGUAUAAAUACCCGGCCACGUCCACUUGUAUUUUGUGUCUAUCUGAUGAGUUCAGCCUUUUUCAACUGAUUUUUAUAGUUCGUUCUUAUGUUGUACUGUUAUACCACUGAUCCAGGUUAGGGGGAGGGUUGGGAUCCCGCUAACAUGUUUAACCCCGCC